UCAGAGUACAGCAAGUGGAAGUUCACCAACAGCCCCACGUUCCUGGAGCUGCUGGAGGAGUUCCCAUCCCUGCAGGUGUCUGCUGGCUUCCUGCUCUCCCUGCUCCCCAUUCUGAAGCCCAGGUUUUACUCCAUCAGCUCCUCCCAGGAUCACACGCCCACAGCGAUCCACCUGACUGUGGCCGUGCUCAUGUACCACACUCGAG
rnacentral:lncRNA from 1 species